UGAGGAAUAUUGGUCAAUGGGCGAGAGCCUGAACCAGCCACGUCGCGUGAAGGAAGACUGACCUUACGGUUUGUAAACUUCUUUUGUAGAGGGGUAAUGGCAGAUACGUGUAUUUGCGUGAAAGUACUCUACGAAUAAGCAUCGGCUAACUCCGUGCCAGCAGCCGCGGUAAUACGGGGGAUGCGAGCGUUAUCCGGAAUUAUUGGGUUUAAAGGGUGCGCAGGUGGCUAAUCAGGUCAGUGGUGAAAAGCUAUGGCUCAACCAUGGUCUUGCCAUUGAAACCGUAUAGCUAGAGAGGAGACGAGGUAGGCGGAAUGUGUGGUGUAGCGGUGAAAUGCAUAGAUAUCAUGACGAACUCCGAUUGCGCAGGCAGCUUACUGUAGCAUAACUGACGCUGAUGCUCGAAAGUGCGGGUAUCAAACAGG
rnacentral:rRNA from 1 species